AUGUGUGACUUCGGAUAUCAGAUCCUUGAAUAUAUACAGACCCUGAGUUGUGUCUCCAAUGUUAAGAGUCAGUCGUUGGUUUAUCACGUCACAGCUGGAGAGACUAAAGGCCUUGAUGGCAGGACUGUGAAGAUUUUUUUAAAGAAUCAUCAUCAGUGUAACGGUAACCCCAAGCCACACAAAUGUAUACCUCUGCAAGAAGAGGACCACAGAUAUGGCGAGACGUAAAGGAACCCUAAGGAUGAAGGUGCAAAGAUCUCCAGACGCCCCCUCAAAUGGAGUUCUGUUAGAGCUGUGAAAGCUGAGAAGGAGUUGAAUGGCAUAAGAAGACUAGAAAACUACUGAGUGGAGUCCAUUCUCCUCAAUGGCCUCUUACAGCCCUCCAUAAGCUGCCCAUGUGCUAACCUUCCAAACUUAUUUGCCACCAAUGUGGAAAAUGCACUUUCUUCUCUUCUUGGGCCGAGCUUCUCUACUGGACCAGUCAUUUCCUGGUCAGUCACAUCUGUGUGACUUUGCCCUCACAGCCCUCAUGGUCUGUAAUAAUCCUUCCCUUCUGCAUCUCCUCAAACUCACAUCCUCCCAGGCCUUUGUCCUCCUGACUACUCCAGCUCAUCCCCAAACCUCCUUCUCAGAACCCCUUUAAUUCUUAAAGCUCCAGUCACCCCAUUCAUCACUUAAUUUCUAUAUUGUGCCGCUUCCUAAAUUUUACUCCUUACCAUGACUACUACAUUAUCUCUACUCCAAAUAGAGAUUUCUUUGUAUUUCUCUUUAUACACACCAGCUUAGAACUGAUAGGUGAUUAUCAAUGACUUGUUCCUUGCUGGAAUAUUUCAAUGGAUUUUUUUUUUAAUUUAGAAAACACCUAAAACUAAUUAUUUUCUAAACUUUGUUUAGCUUCAAUGUAGACAGGCACCUCACAAUAUGUUCCAAAACCCAACCAUUCAAAGAAAACUACAUUUAA
rnacentral:lncRNA from 1 species